UGAAGAUUAGGAAGUUCAAGAUCCGGGUACCUGUAGAUUCAGCUUUUGGUGCCGGUUUCCUCAUUGGCUGGAAGAUGGCACCUUAUACAAGAGUGAGAAGCAGCUGCGGAGUCUCUUCUAAGAACUUCUAAGAACUCUCAGAAUCACAUCUAGCAUACUCUGCCUCAUGUUUGGGCUAAUCCUGACUACUUCUCAGAGGCUCCACUUCCAAACACCAUCACAUUGGGCAUUUGGGUUUCAACGCAAAAAUUUUGGAGUGACACAAAAUCACUUCAUAACAGUGGGUCUGUACUCCAUUUUUGGCCCUCACCAACAAACAAGUGGCUGAUCCAUGAACCAGUCUAAGGAGUGGUCUCCAGCUUCCUGGACCCAAAGUGGACUCCAUUUUCUCCGUCCAACCUGAUUACCAUCUACAAUGACUGCCUGUAUUUAAUUCUGGCUUCACCAAUAAAGUCUAAAGAUGUGAGUGAAGGGAAAGAAAUCAAUGUGACCUGUAGUGGGUGACACAAGGAGUUUCCCUCUGUGUCUUCUUAGUCUCAUCUAUUUUUCCUACACAGAACUUUGGGCAAGUAAAGUAGACAAAAAAGAGUGCUGGAUGAAGAAGGUGAGAUCUAGAGCAGGUUUGGAAGGAAAAGGAAGACUUAGGACAUUGGGAUCCACGGCAGUGUCAAGGAAUGUAGACUCUUUCAUUGAAUCUCCCUAUUACAAUAUUUCUUAUUUUUUGCUUUAAGAAGGUUUGGCUAGCUAACAAUAUAUGGCAUGUGUAUUCAUUUUCUACUGCUACAUAACAAAUUAGCCAUCACUUAGAGGCUUUCAAAAACUCUCUCACAGUUCUGCAAGUCAGAAGGCCAGGAGGGCUGAUAGAAAUAAGGAAUUGCUCAACUUGGAAAUUAAUCUGGAGCCUCUGAGGAAGAACUUUCUCUGCGCUUAUUCAACUUGCUGAGAGUAAAUCGAAUUCCUUGCUGUUGUAGGACUGAUAUUCCUUUUUUUCUGGCUGACUGUUGCCUGAGUGUGGUUCUCAGAAACUUGAAACGUGAAUGGGUUUUGUGUGCCCCUAUAAUUCGUGUGUUGAAAUCCUAACCCUGAGCACUUCAGAACAUAUCUACAUUUGGAGACAGAGUUUUUAAAGACGAAAUUAAGAUAAAAUGGUCAUAUGGUUGGGCCAUAAUCCAAGAUGACAUGUACCCUGGAUGAAGAGGAAAUUUAGACCCAGACAUGUACACAAAGAAGAUCAUGUAAAGAGAAAGAAAAAAUGAGCAUCUAUCAGCCAAGGAGAGGAACUUCGGAAAAAGUCAACCCUGCUGAAACAAUGGUCUCAAACUUCCACUUUCUAGAAUGGUUAGAAAAUAAAUUUCUAUUGUUUAGAUCACCCAACCUACAAUAUGUUGUUAUGGCAGCCCUAAAACACAUUCAAGGCUGCUCUUUGGCUCCUGCAUGUGACCCCCACCAUCUCUGAAUUAGCAAGAAAUUCUGAUGUGCUUCAAAUCUGACUUCCCAUUCGGCCAUUUUCUGAAAAAAAAAAAUUAAAUUAAAAAAAAAAAAAAACCUCUCUACUUUCCACAUAAAUUCAGGAGACAAUUCUACCAAAUCUCUUAUGUUUGUCUUUGCUAUUAUGGAAAUUGAAAUCAGGGCCUCAUGAAUAUUUGGUAAGUUCCGUACCACGAAGCUACAUUUCCAGCAUAAUCACUAACUUUCUGCCAUCACACACACACACACACACACAAAAAGAAUCAUCCUUCCUCCUGUUUCUAAUACUAUGCCCUUUACAUCUUCUUGAGCCCUCAUGAGGAAAACUCAUGAAAUCCUUUUUGGUUUCUUUCCUUGUUUGUGUUUUGCAGUACUGGGAUGAAAUCCAGGUUUACUACUAAGUUCUAUCAUCUCUUUUUGUUUUUUUAUUUUGAAAUAAAGUCCUGCUGAAAUGCCCA